GGAGAAAUGGUAUCAGCAAAAUACAUUGCCGAGGCAAGAGAGAUCGCCACUUCAUCUGAAAUGAGAUCAAGUCACCAAAAUUAACGUUGCCAUGUCUGGUGUUAAAGCCACACUCUGAACACUGUUGCCUGUUUAUUUAUUUGUACGGUGGUUCAUUUCCAAAGCAGACUGAGGUGCAGUUAUGAGGAGACUUGCUGCAUGACUCCUGUAAGCUGUCAGACCUGAACCAAGGACAGAAGUUAAUGAAUAUAAAGUGUGUGAGAAAACUAGAUGCCAAACAACACACAGCAACUCUCCAGGCGAACCUCAGCGCCAUGACGUACCACUGCUGUCCUAGUUUUGGUGCAGUGAUGGUCUAAUCUGAGAAAGGCCGGGCUUUAUUUCUCUACAGCAAAUACAACUCAGGCAACACAGGGUAUUUCUCCUCCUUGCUGACCAAGCCAUCGUCAUGCUGUUUCCAGAAAAUAAAUAAAUAAAUAAAUAAACACGUGUCCCUCUU